UGAGGAAUAUUGGUCAAUGGGGGCAACCCUGAACCAGCGACGCCGCGUGGGCGAAGAAGGUCUUCGGAUCGUAAAGCCCUUUUCUGUGUGAAGAGCAAGGACGGUAGCACAGGAAUAAGCCUCGGCUAACUCCGUGCCAGCAGCCGCGGUAAAACGUAGGAGGCGAGCGUUAUCCGGAGUUACUGGGCGUAAAGCGCGUGUAGGCGGCUGUUUAAGUGUGCUGUGAAAUGUCCCGGCUCAACCGGGAAGGUGCGACGCAGACUGGACGGCUGGAGGGUGACAGAGGCAGGUAGAAUUCCGGGUGUAGUGGUGAAAUGCGUAGAGAUCCGGAGGAAUACCAGUGGCGUAAGCGGCCUGCUGGGUCAAUCCUGACGCUGAGACGCGAAGGCAUGGGGAGCGAA
rnacentral:rRNA from 1 species